rnacentral:rRNA from 1 species
UUUCCUGAUCAAUGCUAAUCAGAUCAGGGUUAGUCGGGACCUAAGGAUAAUCCGAAAGGAAAAGCCGAUGGACAACUGGUUAAUAUUCCAGUACUAGCUAUUGUAGUGAUGGAACUACGAAGAAGUGAAAGAUCCGCGCACGGACGGAUGUGUGCGUUAAAGCCCGUAGAUAUAGAUUAUACAGGAAAAUCCGUAUAGUCUGUCGAAGGUGACAGUACCACAAGUCUUCGGACAAGUGGAUAAUGAUCCUAAUCAUGCUUCCGAGAAACAUUCCUAAACUUAUACAAUAGCAACCCGUACCGUAAACCGACACAGGUAGUCGAGGAGAGAAUCCUAAGGUGCUCGAGUGAAUCAUGGCUAAGGAACUCGGCAAAUUAACCCUGUAACUUCGGGAAAAAGGGUGCUCUUCGCAAGAAGAGCCGCAGUGAAAUGGCCCAGGCGACUGUUUAACAAAAACACAUGGCUUUGCAAAAUCGAAAGAUUACGUAUAAGGCCUGACACCUGCCCGGUGCUGGAAGGUUAAGAGGAGAUGUCAGAAGCAAUUCAAAGCAUUGAAUCGAAGCCCCAGUAAACGGCGGCCGUAACAAUAACGGUCCUAAGGUAGCGAAAUUCCUUGUCGGGUAAGUUCCGACCUGCACGAAUGGUGUAACGAUCUGGGCACUGUCUCAGCCAUGAGCUCGGUGAAAUUGUAGUAUCGGUGAAGAUGCCGAUUACCCGCAACGGGACGGAAAGACCCCGUGCACCUUCACUAUAACUUUGCAUUGAGUUUGGGUAAUUGAUGUGUAGGAUAGGUGGGAGACUUUGAAGUGGUGGCGCCAGCCAUCAUGGAGUCAACCUUGAAAUACCACCCUUCAAUUAUUUGAAUUCUAAUCCCGCACAGCGGGAAACAGUGCAUGGUGGGUAGUUUGACUGGGGUGGUCGCCUCCCAAAGAGUAACGGAGGCUUUCAAAGGUACCCUCAGCACGCUUGGUAACCGUGCGUAGAGUGCAAUAGCAUAAGGGUGCUUAACUGUGAGACCUACAAGUCGAGCAGAAUCGAAAGAUGGAUAUAGUGAUCCGGUGGUUCCGCAUGGAAGGGCCAUCGCUCAAAGGAUAAAAGGUACGCCGGGAUAACAGGCUGAUCUCCCCCAAGAGCUCACAUCGACGGGGAGGUUUGGCACCUCGACGUCGGCUCGUCACGUCCUGGGGCUGGAGAAGGUCCCAAGGGUUGAGCUGUUCGCUCAUUAAAGUGGCACGCGAGCUGGGUUCAGAACGUCGUGAGACAGUUCGGUCCCUAUCUGUUGUGGGCGUUUGAAGUUUGAGAGGGCCUGACUCUAGUACGAGAGGACCGAGUCGGACGAACCUCUAGUGUACCUGUUGUCGCGCCAGCGGCACCGCAGGGUAGCUACGUUCGGUUAAGAUAAGCGCUGAAAGCAUCUAAGCGCGAAACUUGCCUCAAGAUAAGACUUCGUUAUAAGGGUCGUCAGAGACUAUGACGUUGAUAGGUUGUAAGUGUAAAGACAGUAAUGUCAAAGCUGAGCAAUACUAAUUACCC